GGGUCGUUAGCUCAGUUGGUAGAGCAGCGGACUUUUAAUCCGUUGGUCGCAGGUUCGAAUCCUGCACGACCUACCA
rnacentral:tRNA from 6 species